rnacentral:tRNA from 1 species
AGAAACUUAGGUUCACUCAAACCAAGGGCCUUCAAAGCCCUAAACAGGGGAACAUCCCCUAGCUUCUG